rnacentral:rRNA from 1 species
AGAGUUUGAUCCUGGCUCAGGACGAACGCUGGCGGCGUGCUUAACACAUGCAAGUGGAGCGACGAACCAGGGCUUGCCCUGGGGCAGAGCCGCGAACGGGUGAGUAACACGUGGGUAACGUGCCCCGAUGACUGGGACAACCCGGGGAAACCCGGGCUAAUACCAGAUGUGCCCCCUCACAUCAGUGAGGUGUGUAAAGGAAGCUUCGGCCUCCGCAUCGGGAUCGGCCCGCGGCCCAUUAGCUUGUUGGUGAGGUAACGGCUCACCAAGGCUGCGAUGGGUAGCUGGUCUGAGAGGACGAUCAGCCACACUGGGACUGAGACACGGCCCAGACUCCUACGGGAGGCAGCAGUGGGGAAUCUUGCGCAAUGGGCGAAAGCCUGACGCAGCAACGCCGCGUGGGGGAUGAAGGCUCUCGGGUUGUAAACCUCUUUCAGCGGGGACGAAGCGAGAGUGACGGUACCCGCAGAAGAAGCCCCGGCCAACUACGUGCCAGCAGCCGCGGUAAUACGUAGGGGGCGAGCGUUGUCCGGAUUUAUUGGGCGUAAAGGGCUCGUAGGUGGCUUGGCAAGUCGGACGUAAAAGUCCAGGGCUCAACCCUGGGAUGCGUUCGAUACUGCUUGGCUAGAGGCCGGUAGGGGGAUCUGGAAUUCCUGGUGUAGCGGUGAAAUGCGCAGAUAUCAGGAGGAACACCGGUGGCGAAGGCGGGAUCCUGGGCCGGACCUGACACUGAUGAGCGAAAGCGUGGGGAGCGAACAGGAUUAGAUACCCCCGUAGUCC